AGAGUUUGCUCAUGGCUCAGAUUGAACGCUGGCGGCAUGCUUUACACAUGCAAGUCGAACGGCAGCACGGGGGCAACCCUGGUGGCGAGUGGCGAACGGGUGAGGAAUGCACCGGAACGUAUCUUCAAGUGGGGGAUAACGCAUCGAAAGGUGUGCUAAUACCGCAUAAUCUCUGAGGAGAAAAGCAGGGGAUCGCAAGACCUUGCGCUUUUGGAGCGGCCGAUGCCUGAUUAGCUUGUUGGUGAGGUAAAAGCUCACCAAGGCUCCGAUCAGUAGCUGGUCUGAGAGGACGACCAGCCACACUGGGACUGAGACACGGCCCAGACUCCUACGGGAGGCAGCAGUGGGGAAUUUUGGACAAUGGGGGCAACCCUGAUCCAGCCAUGCCGCGUGAGUGAAGAAGGCCUUCGGGUUGUAAAGCCCUUUCAGCCGGAACGAAACGGUCACGGUUAAUACCCGUGACUACUGACGGUACCGGAAGAAGAAGCACCGGCUAACUACGUGCCAGCAGCCGCGGUAAUACGUAGGGUGCGAGCGUUAAUCGGAAUUACUGGGCGUAAAGCGUGCGC
rnacentral:rRNA from 1 species